GCAGCCUUCGCCGAUGUCAUCGCCGCCCUCUGGCACCCCGAGUCCUCCGAGGCCGUCAACCCCGGGCGCUUCAAGGCUGUCUUUCAGAAAUACGUCCCCUCCUUCACCGGGUACAGCCAGCAGGACGCGCAGGAGUUCCUCAAGUUCUUCAUGGACCGGCUGCACGUGGAGAUCAACCGCAAGGGCCGCCGGACACCCAGCAUCCUCGCGGACGCCCGGCGGACCCCGGCGCUGGAGGAGCCCGAGACACUGAGUGACGACGAACGCGCCAACCAGAUGUGGAAGCGAUACCUGGAGAGGGAGGACAGCAAGAUCGUGG
rnacentral:lncRNA from 1 species